GACGAACGCUGGCGGCGUGCUUAACACAUGCAAGUCGAACGGAAAGGCCCCUUCGGGGGUACUCGAGUGGCGAACAGGUGAGUAACACGUGAGUAACCUGCCCUUGACUUCGGGAUAACUUCAGGAAACUGGGGCUAAUACCGGAUAGGAAUCCUUGCUGCAUGGUGGGGGUUGGAAAGCUUCGGCGGUUUUGGAUGGACUCGCGGCUUAUCAGCUUGUUGGUGGGGUAGUGGCUUACCAAGGCUUUGACGGGUAGCCGGCCUGAGAGGGCGACCGGCCACAUUGGGACUGAGAUACGGCCCAGACUCCUACGGGAGGCAGCAGUGGGGAAUAUUGCACAAUGGGCGGAAGCCUGAUGCAGCAACGCCGCGUGCGGGAUGACGGCCUUCGGGUUGUAAACCGCUUUCAGCAGGGGCGAAGCUUGUGGUGACGGUACCUGCAGAAGGAGCACCGGCUAACUACGUG
rnacentral:rRNA from 1 species